rnacentral:lncRNA from 1 species
CCUGGGCAGCGGAUCCGUCCUCGCUGUCACCUCCUGGCAGGGGCGCUGCUGCCACAUCCAGGUGAGUGCCACCGGCCUGUGGCAGUGUCACUGCUGCCACAUCCAGGUGAGUGCCACCGGCCUGUGGCAGUGUCACUGCUGCCACAUCCAGGUGAGUGCCACCAGCCUGUGGCAGUGUCACUGCUGCCACAUCCAGGUGAGUGCCACCGGCUCCUGGCAAUGCUGCCAUGUCCAGGUGAGUGCCACCAGUUCCCAGGGACACAGGGCUGGGUGUGGCCCCAGCUAAGCCCGGCUCCAAGCCGAGCUAACACCGGGUUUAAAGCCCCAGGCAGGGAGGAGGAGGUAGCAGCAGGACGCCCCGGCCCCCGGGAGCUGCCGGGGGCUGCUGCCAGCGGAUCUAACGCCGUGCCCUGUCCCCCUGUCCCCAGCUGCGCCCCCUGUUCCUCCUGGCCCUGGCAGAUUUCCUGGGUGCCGCGGCGCUGCUGGGCACGGGAACCGUCCCGCUGCUGCCGGCCUCCCUCUCCGUGCCCGCCUACGCCGCCUGUCCCUACGGGCGGAUGCUGACCACGGUACGGGGACACUGCUGGGGACAGCCGGGCCCUGCCUGCGGCUGCAGCUCGCACCGCACCGUCCUCGGGGGGCGAGCGCGGCCCCCGGCAGCGCUGCAGGAGCGGAGCCGCUGCCUGGAGAGCGCCUGGCGGGGAAUUCCGUACGUCCUGGCCUGGUGGGUGCCCGCCGCCGGCCCCGCCCGGGACUCUCCCGUCCCUUCCCGGUACCGGUACCGGCCCCGCCCGGGACUCUCCCGUCCCUUCCCGGUACCGGUACCGGCCCCGCCCGGGGCUCUCCCGUCCCUUCCCGGUACCGGUACCGGCCCCGCCCGGGGCUCUCCCGUCCCUUCCCGGUGCCGGUGCCGGCCCGGGGCUCUCCCGUCCCUUCCCGAGGCCGGUACCGGUGCCGGCCCGGGGCUCUCAGCCGUCCCUUCCCGGUACCGGUGCCAGCCCGGGGCUCUCACCCGUCCCUUCCCAAGGCCGGUACCGGCCCGGGGCUCUCAGCCGUCCCUUCCCAAGGCUGGUGCCGGUACCGGUACCGGCCCGGGGCUCUCAGCCGUCCCUUCCCAAGGCCGGUACCGGUACCGGUACCGGUGCCGGUCCAGGGCUCUCACCCGUCCCUUCCCGAGGCUGGUGCCGGUACCGGUGCCGGCCCGGGACUCUCACCCGUCCCUUCCCGAGGCCGGUGCCGGUACCGGUACCGGCCCGGGACUCUCAGCCGUCCCUUCCCAAGGCUGGUACCGGCGCUGACUCUCCUGGCUCAGCUGCUCUCCCGCGGCACCUCCGCCGCCGCCAUCGCGCCCGUGGUGCCCCGGCCCGGCUCCAACGACACCUUCAGCCUUUACUGCUCCAGGUACGGCCCCUCCGCCCCCGCCCCGCCCGGGGCAUCGCCGCGGGACCCCGGGGGAGGCUCUGGGAGCUCCAGCACCGCUCUGUCCUUGCAGCUGCCUCCUCCUGAUCCGCCCGAGCCAGGACAUUUGCUCCCAGGUGGGCGCUGCUCCCGGGGGGCUCCGGGGCCGCGGGGGUCGCUGGCCCGGCCCCGCUCAUCUCCCGUUGUCUCCCAGUCCGGCGGGGGCAGGAACGCGGGGCUGGAGGAGAAAAUCAUCCUCCUGCUGUACCUGCUGCUGGUGCUCGGCUGCUGCUCGGUGAGGCCGCGGCUCGGAGGGCGGCACUGGGGGUCCCCAGCGCCCCGCUGAGCCCCGGACCCCCCCAGCUCCUGUACCGGCGGGUGCGGCUCCGGUGCCGGCGGAACGCGGCGCUGCCGCUGCUGAGCCUGGACAGGGACGGCGGCCUCGGGGGCAGGAGCGGCCGCAGCGUCAGCAAAGCCUCGCUGCACUUCCAGCUGGUUUUCCUGCUCUGCUGGACGCCAGGCAAGGCCAGGGGGGUGUCCCAAAGCCCCGCAGGGUCACACUGAGGGUGUCCCCAGCUCCCCCAGGGUCACACUGAGGUG